UGAAGAAGGAACAUGUUUUAUUUCUACAAUUUCCAAAAACGAACUAAACAAAAACAUAAUUACUUUUACAAGACGUGUUUCUGCCAUAAUGUGCAUUAGUAGCACAAUUUCCAAUUUAUUUACAUUUGUUUGUACUUAGACUUGUAUGUUAACUUCUCCAUAUUGACAUUGAGGUUUUAAAUUUUGGCGGACUUUUCUUAGCGGAUGUACAAUCAUCGCGAAAGGAAUAUGGGGCAUUUCAGGCCCCGAAGUUAAAAUAAUUUUAAACUCGCAAACUCGAUCAAAAACGAGGGCUGAGUGGCUUACAUUGCGAACACCCCUUGCUUGGCUAAAUGUUGGACCAACGACAAAUAUGGCCGCGGGGAUUCCCCCAAGGGCAUAAGGUGAGGGUCCUCCACUGUAGCUGCUUGUUUUGUUGAACAGAUCCCAGGUGUGACAAGAAAAGACAGUGGAAUAACAGACGGAACAGCCCUUCGUUCCACCCUGCCUCUGUUCACCCGGGGACGAGGGUGGCGGUGCGGGCCGUAUGGUUGUGAAUAGGAAUAUUCACUACAAUACAGUGGUGCAGAUGGAGACUGGGGAUAUAUGGUGAGAGUCAAUAAGAAUGACUGACCCGGUGACCCUCAACGUGGGUGGCUGUCUGUACACCACGUCCCAGGCCACCCUGCAGCGCUACCCUGACUCCAUGCUAGGGGUCCAUGUUCCACGGAGACUUCCCCACUACACGCAGCGCUCAGACUUCUACCAGAUCGAGCCGUUGAUGCAGUCUCUCACCGACACUAAACCCCUCUACCCCCUGGACACAUUUUGAGGAGGUGGUGGAGCUCUCGUCAACCAGGAAGCUCUCGUCAACCAGGAAGCUCUCGUCAACCAGGAAGCUCUCGUCAACCAGGAAGCUCUCGUCAACCAGGAAGCUCUCGUCAACCAGGAAGCUCUCGUCAACCAGGAAGCUCUCGUCAACCAGGAAGCUCUCGUCAACCAGGAAGCUCUCGUCAACCAGGAAGCUCUCGUCAACCAGGAAGCUGUCCAUGUACUCCAACCUUGUUGCUGCCGUCAUCACCACCAAGCUCACCAUCACCACCAAAGUCCACUCGCUACUGGAGAGGGUGUCUUAACAGCUUCACCAAAGUGGAUCAAACACAUGAUUGAUUCCAGUGACUUCCAGGUGUCCUUCACCUUUUGGUCCGUGUGACUAUCACCAGGAGGUGUCUCUGAGAGUGCACCUGUUGGACUAUAUCGCCAAACGGGGCUUCAGGAACACCAGGGUCCACCAGAUGAGUGAGAGGGCCAACGAGAACACAGUG